AACGAACGCUGGCGGCAGGCUUAACACAUGCAAGUCGAGCGACCCGCAAGGGGAGCGGCAGACGGGUGCGUAAGGCGAGGGCACGUACCCUUUGCUACGGAAUAGCUCCGGGAAACUGGACUUAAUACCGUACGGGCCCUACGGGGGAAAGAUGUAUCGGCAAAGGAUCGGCCCGCGUUGGAUUAGGUAGUUGGUGGUGGAAUGGCCUACCAAGGCGACGAUCCAUAGCUGGUCUGAGAGGAUGAUCAGCCACAUUGGGACUGAGACACGGCCCAAACUCGUACGGGAGGCAGCAGUGGGGAAUAUUGGACAAUGGGCGCAAGCCUGAUCCAGCCAUGCCGCGUGAAUGAUGAAGGCCUUAGGGUUGUAAAGCUCUGUCACCGGAGAAGAUAAUGACGGUAUCCGGAGAAGAAGCCCCGGCUAACUUCGUGCCAGCCGCCGCUGUAAUAC
rnacentral:rRNA from 1 species